UUAACACAUUAUUUCAUAACUUUAUACAAUUCAUAUCAUAAUCACUUUUUCAUACUUCAUACAUUCCCAUUGCCGAAUCAUACGGAUUUCAAUUGGCCAAGCCCUUCCCCGAGUGGCAAUGCCGUGGUCUUCCGGUGCUUGAAGUAGAGCUGUCAAAUUUUUUCAAAGCCCUAAGGCCAACCUGGCCUUUUCUAUACUGAGGCCCAUUUUGUUUGACCCACACCUGAGGGAGCUUUUCCAAAACCCCUAUCCCCCAACCCCAGAAAAUGGGUUGGGAUUAAAUUAGGGCCGGGUUAGCCUCCUAGCCCCCAAAACCCCAGUUUUCUCUGUUGAUCCUGGACAUCCCAUUUUCUUCUGGACAAACGUUUGCCGAAGAGCUCUACAACAAUGGCAACAGACAGCAGGGUCUACGGCGGCAGGCAUGGCGGUACAGGCGGGCGACAACACACAGUGGAGUCAACGGCAGCACUUGACGGCAACGCUCGGUGGUAUAGGCGGCGGCGAUAGCAACGAUCGAGUGGUUGAAAAGCGACGAUCGAGUGGUUGAAAAGAAGAAUCGUGAACGAGUACACUGCAAUUAAGCCUCUUAGGUGACAGAGGACUGAUAAAAGUUAAGGAAGCAUAAGACAAAACUGAAGGUGGGAUUUUGCUUCCCUCAACCACUCAAACUAAGCCUCUAGAGGUUGAGGUGGUUGCUGGUGAAGGAAAGACAGUUGGAAAGUCAAAAGUAGAUGUUAGUGUGAAGGUAAUGUUGAUGCUAUGUUGGAGUCUUUAAACCUUUACUGGUCUGUGUUUAAUUUUUUUGUGGAGUUAGGUUGGCUCUCAUUGAUGCUUUGAUGUGUUGUGAAUAGUCAUAAGGGUAAUGGAUUGCAAUUCAAAGCCAUGAUAGUAAUGUUUUAGAAUUUGUUUUUUCUAAGAAUGAUUGUGACCCAGUUUUUCUAUGAAACAAGACAAACUCUAUGACCCGGAUUUCCUUUUAAUCUGAACCAAUUAGGCUGGAAACCACUACAUAUAUUCACUGUCAACUUGUCAUUUGAUUUUAUUAUUCCUUUUCAUCUUCUGUUUCUUUUUCUACCACGUAUUUCUUUCUCUUCUUAAAAUAAUCUUAUCUUAAUUAACAUCAACUACUUUCUAAUCUCAUAGUAUUUAGUAGUUUUCGAUUCAAAGCAAGGAGCCAAGAGUGUUUCUCCUGAUCUUUCUAGUUCUCAAUUUAGAUUUUUUAGAUUAUGUUUUAGUGGAUUCUGGUAAAAAAAACAAUAAUCAAUAAUAAGCAAGAACAGUGACAAGGGUCAGUGAGAAAAAAAAAUCUAAGUUACUAGUUACCAUACGUAGUCCUAGUCUUUAACAACCACUAAGCAAAGGAACCAUGGUUUUCAGAAGCAUACAAAAACAUCCAACUGUAACAUUAUCACCCUCUCUUCCAUUCAAUCAGAUAUGCACAUGAUCAGGCCUAACAAUUUGCCUUUAAAUUCGUCCACCUCUCUUUAAAUGUUAUUGCAGUAUCUUGGUAGCAGUAACAUUUCUUUCUAACUUUUCUAUUUUCUUACAAUUUUUCUUGUUUUUGAGUGAAAUUUUCCAUCUAUAUACUUAUUUAUACGAUAAUGUUAUAACUAAUUUGAUUGCUUGAUGUCUUGUAUUUCUUUUCGCACCAUGUUAUAAGAAUAAAACAUCUGUUACUUCUUUUUUUAAUAAAAUCUUUCAUUUUAAUUAUAACUUUUAUGUAUAAAACUCCACUACUGAUAUGGUCUAAAAAUAGUUCUAUUAGGAUAAACAUAAAACGAGUUUGAUGUAUGUUAUUUGAAGUCUCUUUAUAUUUUAAGACUUAAUUAAAUUUCAAGGAUUUCAUACCACGUGUUUCUAAUUAAGUUUUUAUUAAUUGAUAAAUCUGUUAUACGAGUUUUAUAUAAGCUCACUUGCAAAGAGAGUGGCACUUGCUUAUAAUUUGUUUAUGAAUAACUUUUUCUAUUGUUAUAUCUCCUUGAACUAGUUCUUGCGAACUUGGUAAAUGUUGCUGCCAUUAAAGCUGCAAUUGAAGGUACAGAGAAAGUAACAGCUUCACAAUUGGAGUAUGCAAAAGACAAAAUAAUUAUUGGUAUUAAGCGGAAAACAAUAUUUAUAUCUGAAGAGUCAAAAAAGGUAUGGGUGUAUGGCAGUAAAUAUUGUAUUCUGCUUUAGUGCUUAGAACAUGUGCAUUGUGCUUAUGUGAUUGAUCUAGGCUUCACCAUGUAAGGGCACUGUUAAACAGUUUUAGUCCUAACAUGUUAGAUUUUUUUUUUGUUGGAUUUGGAUCUUUAUGUUUUAGAUUUUUUCUACUUUUUUCCUGUUACUUCUAUUAUGGAACUUAACAAAUAUAUCCACAUUAAAUUGUUGAAUCAGAAAAAAAUGUUUCCAUCACAAGCGAAACAGGGAAAAUAAAAAAAUAAAUUCUCGCUUGUUUCAAGAACUGAUUAUCAAUGUUCUUCCACAAUUUAAUAGAGCUUUCAGAACAUUGUCUUGCAAUUUUUGAGAUGAAAGUGUAAGUUUUUUUUUUUUGUUUUGCUCUAGGUUGUCAAAAUCCCAUCUGUUAUAGGAAGGGAGCAGCAUGAUUGUGAUUACAUGUAAAUUUGGGUUUCAAUCUGUGAGCUUUUGACAAACACUAUAGCACUUGUGGUAUUCUACCCUUAAAAGCUAGUUGUGAAGAAAGGAUAACUGAGAACUUAAAUACUCUAUCUCACACCUCAUACUAUUCAAUGAGAGUUACGCAUCUCAUAAACAUAAUGCCGAUCACAGCACCUUAUCAUAAAAAGAACCUGUUAACUGAUGUCAUUGUUCUUGUGCAAGCUGAAUAAUGGGUUUGUUUGUAGGAACGACCAAUAAUGAGAUGAUUUUUUAGCAUUGUUGGUUGGUUUAUGGCAGUUUUGUGAAGGUAUUUUAAGUUUCCAUCAAGUCAGAAUUAAGAGGAAAGUUGAAGAACAGUUUGAGUCAGGACCAGUUGCUGCCAAGCAGUUUCAAUUUUUCUAUUCUCUUUGUAUCAAAACAAUUGUUCAGUUUCUUUUCUUUUCUUAUUUGCUGUUUCAGUUCUGAUCCCCUUUCACAUGGAGGACAAUGUGCAAUUCUGAUAUAGCAUGUUCAAAUUUUUUUUGC